rnacentral:rRNA from 1 species
UGGGGAAUUUUGGACAAUGGGCGCAAGCCUGAUCCAGCAAUGCCGCGUGCAGGAAGAAGGCCUUCGGGUUGUAAACUGCUUUUGUACGGAACGAAACGGUCUGGGUUAAUACCCUGGGCUAAUGACGGUACCGUAAGAAUAAGCACCGGCUAACUACGUGCCAGCAGCCGCGGUAAUACGUAGGGUGCAAGCGUUAAUCGGAAUUACUGGGCGUAAAGCGUGCGCAGGCGGUUUUGUAAGACAGUCGUGAAAUCCCCGGGCUCAACCUGGGAAUUGCGAUUGUGACUGCAAAGCUGGAGUGCGGCAGAGGGGGAUGGAAUUCCGCGUGUAGCAGUGAAAUGCGUAGAUAUGCGGAGGAACACCGAUGGCGAAGGCAAUCCCCUGGGCCUGCACUGACGCUCAUGCACGAAAGCGUGGGGAGCAAACA